AAGCAACUGCAAGUCUGCAACAGAGUCACUCACUCUGGAGGAGAUUGGAGAAAGAGGUCACAUCGGUCCACAGCAGCCUCUGAGCCUAUCGAGUCCGCCCAGUCCUGCUUGUGUUCCCCUUCCCUUCCCAGCUGGGCCCCUUUGCUGCUAGAGAGAGUGCUGAUAGCAGAACAACAGAGAGAGACUCACUGAGAGCAAGCAUUGCAAGUUUGCAAGAAGUUGUGUUGCAGUGUUGUUGCGUCUGAGAAGACAUGAUGAUGGAGCCCUCCUCCGAGUCAGACUCAGGGGUCUCAUGUAGAUGUUAAAAAGCAUUGGAGACAAUAUGAAGCCCUCGAGGACACCAUAUAAAAGUUCAGAUUUUGGAGAACAACAGUCUUCCAGGGACACCAUCUGGAAUCUGCCCGACAAGUAGGAGUGGGACCAGCGUAAAGCAGUGCCUCCCAACCCCCUCAGAUGCUCCAGAAGGAUACUAUGUUCUUCUGAAGCAUGAGAUUUGCCAAGGAUACCACAGACAGUGAGACUCUUCAUCAUUAUAAUCCCCCGCCCCCUGCUUUUGGUAUACAUGGAAGUGCCAGCUGAUGACAGGAAUGAAGAUGCUUUCUGCUUUGAAAAGCCAACACAGAAACCAGUAGAGCAGACAGCUUAAGCAUGGUGUCUCUAGUGCUGGAAAGGAAAAGCAGACCUUCUGAAGGAUACAAUGCCCCUGGCUCCUUCCAGCAAGAGAGAGAGACACUAGUUUGAAAGUAAGAGCAGGAAGAAGACUCCUUCAGGAAUCAAAGGCAGAUGUCCAUUUGCCUGACAUCAUGACCCAUCUCCCCGAGUGUUUGCUUCUAUCCAUAACCGAACUCUGCUUAAUCUCAUUUGUUGCUCCUAUAACCAUUUCUGAUCCAAUUUCUGGUAGUAAUAAAAUCCUAUUUUAAAUGUCUUGAGGUUGCUGUAUGCCCAACUGGAAAACUUCUAUUUGGUUUGCAUGUGGUAACCAGAAAGCUCAAGUCAAUCUGUAACCUCCCACCUCUUCCCUCCCUUCUCUCUCCCCUGCCAGCCCCCUGGAUUGCACUUGUACAGACUAUGGCUUCUCAAUUCUCAAAAGAAUGCUGCACAGAUCUUGUUCAUAUCACUUACAUCGGAUUCCCAGCAGUAAGGACAGGUUAGGCUCCUUGCCCUGAGCUCUAUGGGUAAGAAUACUGCAAAGUGCUUUCAAGUCAAACAGACAGUGAGACAUUUCCUUGAACAACUGGUCAGCCACAGGCAGUUUUUCAGCCACUGGCUGCCUGGACUGUUCCAUCUGGUGAAUCUGUUCCCUCAAAGAGGCAUUUUCUUCCAUAAAUCUUUGGUUCUACAUAAAAAGAAAAGAAAAGAAAUGGCAACCAUUUAUUCACUUGGAUUUUUCUAAUAAAAUGAACAAAACA